CAGUUGAUAAGGAUCAGUAGUGGGUCUACUCUGGACAGUUGAUAAGGAUCAUUAGUGGGUCUACUCUGGAAAUUGAUAAGGAUCAGUAGUGGGUCUACUCUGGACAGUUUAUAGAAAGGCAUAGUACAUGACCGCCUGGAUGGAUUUUUACGUGUGAUGUUGAUAUGCUGUAGGUGGCGGAUCGUCAUUCUCCCAUAGGUCCAUAGGUCUAUGCUCCCAGCAGGUCCGUUAUUCAGAUCCGUUAUUCAGGCACGCUUAUCACACGUUCUGCCUCCUCUCCGAUCCAAGUGGCUUUUCCUCGACCUAGAACCUAACACUUCAAAAUAUAGCUUCAAUAUUUUUCAUUUCACUUUUAAAAUGUAUGAGCCUUUUUAUGUGUGGCAAUAAACACAACGAGUCACAAUGUUUUCAUAUGAUGAAGGCUACUUCUAAAGUCUCGUUCCAUGGUGGACAGACAGGGAGAGUCUCGUUCCAUGGUGGACAGGCAGGGAGAGUCUCGUUCCAUGGUGGACAGCAAACCCUCAACCUUCUGGCCUGUUGGCCCUGCGUGACAUCAACUGUGUCACAAAAGAAUGCUGAAGUUGCAAAGUCGAUAUGUCCACGUUUAUAAACGCAGGCUUGCUACAGUUAUCGUAUAUUUAUGGUGGUAACCAUCAUUUUUGUACAUUGUUUGGUAUGUUUCAUGUUGUUUUCUCUUCAUGUAUUUAUUAGGGUGUUUGGUAGAGCAGCAAGUCAACUGGACUUCCUUAGUGGUUACCUGGGUUGUUUCCAGACACGUUGUCAUGGUGAUACCGGUGUAAAUAGCUGACUGGACAUUGAUCUGAUUUAAUGAGUACGAGAGUGUAUUCACUAGGAAAUAAACGGAAGCAAAACAGGACACUUGGAUCUACCUGAAAUGUGUCAAAUAGAAAUGAGUUUGCACAAAUGAAUACAUCCCAUGCCACAUGAUUCAGGUUUCUAUCUGUAACACUGGUUACACCACUGUAAAACGUUUGCACAAAUGAAUACAUCCCAUGCCACAUGAUUCAGGUUUCUAUCUGUAACACUGGUUACACAACUGUAAAACGUUUGCACAAAUGAAUACAUCCCAUGCCACAUGAUUCAGGUUGUAUCUGUAACACUGGUUACACCACUGUAAAACGUUUGCACUAAUGAAUACAUCCCAUGCCUCAUGAUUCAGGUUGUAUCUGUAACACUGGUUACACCACUGUAAAACGUUUGCACAAAUGAAUACAUCCCAUGCCACAUGAUUCAGGUAACACUUUGGUUAUACCACUGUAAUGAGUUUGGGGAAAGGCUGUGGCUUUCUUCAUUCUUAUUUUGUAUUUUUGUUUUUCUGCUCUCAAGUUGUGAAUAUUUUUUUAUUUUAUUGAAAGCCAGCGAGAAUGUGCACAAAUCAGCUUUCAAGACUACACCCAAUGAUAACUAAAUAGAUCUUAGGAUUUAGAAUCUAUUGAAGAGAUGUAGGUGGAAAAUGUUGUUUUCUUCUGUCAUGAAAUGUACAGUGCCUUCGGAAAGUAUUCAGACCCCUUGACUUUUUUCCACAUUUUGUAACGUAACAACCUUAUUCUAAAAUUAUUAUUUUUUUAAAUAGUUUCCUCAAUCUACACACAAUAGCUCAUAAUGACAAAGCAAAAACAGGUUUUUAGACAUUUUUUUUCUUCUAAUUUAUUAAAAAUAAAAUUGAAAUAUCACAUUUACAUAAGUAUUCAGACCCUUUAGUCAGUACUUUAUUGUACUUCACCUUUGGCAGAAAUUACAACAUCAAGUCUUGUUGGGUGUGAUGCUACAAGCUUGGCACACCUGUAUUUGGGGAGUUUCUCCCAUUCUUCUCUGCAGAUCCUCUCAAGCUCUGUCAGGUUAAAUGGGGAGCGUCGCUGCACAGCUAUUUUCAGGUCUCUCCAGAGAUGUUCGAUCGGGUUCAAGUCCCGCCACUACCAUGCUUCACCGUAGGGAUGGUGCCAGGUUUCCUCCAGACGUGAUGCUUGGCAUUCAGGCCAAAGAGUUCAAUCUUGGUUUCAUCAGACCAUAGAAUCUUGUUUCUCAUGGUCUGAGAGUCCUUUAGGUGCCUUUUGGUAAACUCUAAUGUAAAUGUGAAUAAGGUAUUUCUGUUUUGUAAAUCUUUUUACAUUUGCCCAAACUUCAAAAACACUGUUUUUGCUUUGUCAUUAUGGGGUAUUGUGUAUAGAUUGCUGAGGAUUUUUAUUUAUUUAAUCAAUUUUAGAAUAAGGCUGUAAUGUAACAAAAUGUGGAAAAAAGUAAAGGGGUCUGAAUACAUUCCAAAGGCACUGUGUACUUCCUAAAUUGCACCCUAUUCCCUUUCUAGUGCACUACUUUUGACCAGGGUAGUGCACUAUAAAAGGACUAUGGUGCCAUUUGGGAUGGACAAUAUAUUGUAAUAUUUUGUAUUUGUUGAAGGAAUGAUAUGAUUGGACUUUGUAAAAAUGCUUCCUUUUUUGUAUCUGCUUCUUUUGUAGAAUCAAAUGGAACAUGUUUAAUAUAUUUGUCAAAAGAUGAUAGAUUUUAUGUUCUGUGGUGUGUUUUAUUUUAGAUUUUAGUGUGGCGUCAUUGUGGGAAAUGUUCUU
rnacentral:lncRNA from 1 species